UAUAUAUAUAUAUAUAUUAAUUUGUAUUCGACAUUUGGAUAUACGUUGUAAAGGGAAGAAACAAACUAUCUGAAUAAAGAUGGACUUUGCACUUGAUUUUCACUAUUUAUUUUAGAAAAAGAACACAAGGAGGACAUUCUGCCUUAUGUCUAUGGACCUGGUGAUCCAAAGAUGGGGCCUCCAAGAAGGACGGGGUUCCUCCAAGAUCUACAAUUGCACAUGACUCUCGUCCUCACCCAAACCAUGUGCAAUAAUAGUGAAAAAAUGGAUACUAAUCCUUGUGGACCUACUUAUGUUAUAGGUUCCAUCCGGUUGCCAUCUCCUCCAUUACACCAUCAAUAACAUAAUAUCUUGAACUUCUGUUAUUUCAAACCUUAAACAAACAUGACUAAAAAUACAUUGAUGGCAAUAUAUAACUCAUUUCAUGAUAUUGGACAUUACAACCUCAUUGGCAUAAAUCUAAAAUAAAAUAAGGCAUGUCAGGAAGCAUAGAGCUAUGGACAUACAUGUGCUACAUGGCUUAGUCUAAAAGGGCUCAUGAUAUGAUCUAGCUAGAGAUGCACCGACAGGUGAACCUUCGAGCCACAUCAUCAAAAUCCAUUGGCCAUAAUUGUUUAUUUGGCCUUGAGCACCAAGAAAUGCUUGCCCCAUCCCUCAAAUCUACCCUAGAACCGCAUACUUGUACUUUUCAAUUGCAUUUGGCUUGGAGACGUUGGUUCCUUGAAUCUUGUAAUUUGGCUUUGAAGAGAGAGACAUGGUAAGGGGAGAUUGUAGGGAUUUUUGAGAUUUUUGGUUUGCGGCUGCACGAGCAAAACCGUAAAAGGGGACGGGCGAGAUUGCUAACCUAGACUUAGGGUUGGAGGAGGUCUUCACAAAUCACCUAGAGGAGCAUGAAUGGUGGACGAUUUCUUGGAGAGGGAGAAGACAGGGAUAGGGGAGGGCUUUUGAAGCUAUAGGCCUAGAUCCUUGGAUGAGAUCAUCACAGAUCAUAAUCCGGUUGAAGCUCGUGAUGACCUCCACCUCGGGGUUCAUUUUGAAGACCGGGUUUUCAUUACUAAUUGGGCUGCUCCUUGACAUUGUCUUCUUCGACCUCGAGAGACCAUCUUCCCUUUACAAGAGUGAGAGAGCGAGCGAGACACUAGAGAGAGAAAGUGAGAAAUGAGACACUCGAUAUAGAGGGGGAGAGAGAAGGGACACUGGAGAGAGAGGGAGCAAGCGCAUGGAAGUGAAGAGAAUAGUGGCGAGGAUCUCGUUUUGGCCUUAAUGCACUAGUUUAAGGGGGCCCAAUCCCAUGAGAGCACAUGGAUCGCAACAUGAACCAUCGAAUUGAGAAAUAAAUGGAUGGCUUGAGUCCGUGCUUAACUAUUGAAUUGUUUUAUAUACUAUAGGCACCAAUUUAAUUUUAUUACUACAUCAAAUCAGAUUUCAUAGUUUGUUUGAGUGGUUAAGGGAAAAAUCAAAAGGCCCAAGUGCAUGGGUUUAAAUCCCAUGACCAACAUCAAUUUUUUUCUUCUUAAAAAUAUAUAUUACAUGUAUUUUUAAAAUAUAUUACAUAUAUUUUUGUUAUUAUGUAUUAUUUUUGUAUGGAUGCUUCCUAGGUGCUUCCAUUUACUAACUUUUUUAACCUUGCUGCUUCUAUGUACCCGCACAACCUGCACUUGCUUCAAGCUACUAAGAUCUAGCCUAGUAAGUGCAAUAGUUGCUCGAGGGGCCAUUCGAGUUGCUAACAUAAACAGGCUAGGGAACUAAGUAGUGUCAAUUAUAAGAUGCAACAUGAAAACCCCCACAACAGGUAUGGAUACAUAGGGUAACUGAUAAUCGACAUAAAAAAUGAUGGGACACCUCUAAACAUUGUAUGGGCUAUAAUAGACCACAAACUUGGACAACAAUGUAACAUGAACCAAAAGUGAGCCUUUAUGGCGACAACAUUUUGAGGGAAGGGAUAGAUAGAUGGAUGUUCACCCAACUUGAUUGAAAUGAAUCAGAGUAUGUUCACCCAAUAAUGUAACCAGCCAUAAAAUCAAGGCUGACGCUUGAUCAGAACAGAACCAAGGAGAUCGUGUUGCGUAACGAGGCUACAAGAAAAAAAUUCAACUAGAAGUUGUUGGUAGCUUGUGAACCUGGCAGUUCAGCUAGGUGAGAGGUAGAUCUUCCCAUGGCUUCGGACUUGAAGUGAAUCCGAUGAAUGUUCUUUUCUUUCGAGAAGACUGCUUUUCAUGGAGGGAGAUAAGCGGACACUUGCUUGCCAGUAUGUUCAGUCUGUGGUUUGGUAAUGACUAGGUCUACACCCUAUGUCGUGCAUCAUUCUGCUUGUCGGAUUCGGCCGGUAAGAAUUUUGCGUGGUCGUUCGUGUCUCUUGGCUAAACUUGAACCCAUUCUGAAUGAUCCAUCCCUGUAAAACAUACAUCCAUAUUUCAAGUAUGAAAUAAGAAAUGUUUCUGCCAAUCACAUUUGGAAUAUAGAAACAAUCUAAAUUAAUCCCAGCAAUCUAGAUUACUUUUUUAGAGCAGACCAACAAUCUAGAUUAGUCCCAAAUAUACAACCAAUUGGUAGCAUGAUGCACAAGCCUGCAAAAUGCAGGAAAAAGGAAGAAACAGCAAAAUAUAUAAUACAAUAUAGGAAUUAAUAGAAAACAUGAAUUCAUCAAGCCACUUCACAUGGUUGGAUGAAGCUUGUUGGUGAUGGUUGUGGUCAAAUGUUUGUGGACUUGUGGAAGAGUACUUGAUCAAAUUUACUCAAGGCACCACAAAUUUUGUAGUUUAUGUCUGAAAUCUCUUGUUAACAAGGGCCUUAUAGUGCUUGUAGUAUAAGUAGUAGUCUUAUUAGCAUAAUUUUAUCAGAAUCCCUCUCCUUAAAAGAAUUGUAUCAGAAUACAGAUCUUGAAAAAGGUUCUAAUGCAGCCCAUAAGUGCUUACGAAGUUCAUAAUAAACCAUGACCAAUGAAGGUUAAGCCCUAAUGCUACAGGAGGAUUGAAUGCAUCCUGAUUCAGAUAUAAGUUGCAAGUCCUUAGCAAUCAAAUCUUCCAUGUAACAUGCCCUGAGAUGCAUUCAAAGAAGAGAAUUAUAUAUAUAAAAGAAAACUGACUAUAGAAGCAGCAUUGAAGAACAUAAAUAUCACUUCGUUAUUUUUCAUACUAAGCUUCAUGAUAAGUGUUGCGUAGAAUCCAAAAGUUUCGAUGCUGGCAGAUAAGCAAUAAGCAAUUCUCCUACCUUAUAUGUAGCAUCUCCAGUAGAUUAACAAAAAUCAUUGACCAGUCUACCUGUUUGACUGGAUGUGGAAUAAGAGGUAGG
rnacentral:lncRNA from 1 species